AUUGAACGCUGGCGGCAUGCCUUACACAUGCAAGUCGAACGGUAACAGGCCGCAAGGUGCUGACGAGUGGCGAACGGGUGAGUAAUGCAUCGGAACGUGCCCAGUCGUGGGGGAUAACGCAGCGAAAGCUGUGCUAAUACCGCAUACGAUCUGUGGAUGAAAGCGGGGGACCGUAAGGCCUCGCGCGAUUGGAGCGGCCGAUGUCAGAUUAGGUAGUUGGUGGGGUAAAGGCUCACCAAGCCGACGAUCUGUAGCUGGUCUGAGAGGACGACCAGCCACACUGGGCAUGAGACACGGCCCAGACUCCUACGGGAGGCAGCAGUGGGGAAUUUUGGACAAUGGGCGCAAGCCUGAUCCAGCAAUGCCGCGUGCAGGAAGAGGGCCUUCGGGUUGUAAACUGCUUUUGUACGGAGCGAAAAGGCUCUCUCUAAUACAGGGGGCUCAUGACGGUACCGUAAGAAUAAGCACCGGCUAACUACGUGCCAGCCGCCGCCGUAAGAC
rnacentral:rRNA from 1 species